CCAUAAAUUGCAUAAGAUAAAAAUUUUGAUUUAGAAUCAAAAAAAUUUGUUUAAUCAAACUUAUGUA
rnacentral:tRNA from 1 species